UACGUAGGGCGCGAGCGUUGUCCGGAUUUAUUGGGCGUAAAGAGCUCGUAGGCGGUGUGUCGCGUCGGCCGUGAAAACUUGCAGCUUAACUGUGGGCGUGCGGUCGAUACGGGCAUCACUGGAGUUCGGCAGGGGAGACUGGAAUUCCUGGUGUAGCGGUGAAAUGCGCAGAUAUCAGGAGGAACACCGGUGGCGAAGGCGGAUCUCUGGGCCUGUUCUGACGCUGAGGCGCGAAAGCUAGGGGAGCGAACAGG
rnacentral:rRNA from 1 species